UACGGAGGGGGCUAGCGUUGUUCGGAAUUACUGGGCGUAAAGCGCACGUAGGCGGCUUUGCAAGUCAGAGGUGAAAGCCCGGGGCUCAACCCCGGAAUAGCCUUUGAGACUGCAUCGCUAGAAUUGUGGAGAGGUAAGUGGAAUUCCGAGUGUAGAGGUGAAAUUCGUAGAUAUCAGGAGGAACACCGGUGGCGAAGGCGGCUGCCUGGCCUAAGACUGACGCUGAGGUGCGAAAGCCAGGGGAGCGAACGGG
rnacentral:rRNA from 1 species